rnacentral:rRNA from 1 species
UGCAUACAAAUAAGCGGAGGAAAAGAAACCAACAGGGAUUGCCUCAGUAGCGGGGAGUGAAGCGGGAAAAGCUCAAAUUUGAAAUCUGGGGUCUUUGGGGUCCGAGUUGUAAUUUGAAGAAGGUAUCUUUGGGGCCGGGUCUUGUCUAUGUUCCUUGGAACAGGACGUCACAGAGGGUGAGAAUCCCGUGCGAUGAGAUGGGCCGGGUCUAUGUAAAGUUCCUUCGACGAGUCGAGUUGUUUGGGAAUGCAGCUCUAAGUGGGUGGUAAAUUCCAUCUAAAGCUAAAUAUUGGGGAGAGACCGAUAGCGAACAAGUACAGUGAUGGAAAGAUGAAAAGAACUUUGAAAAGAGAGUGAAAAAGUACGUGAAAUUGUUGAAAGGGAAGGGGUUGAGAUCAGACUUGGUAUUUUGCAAGUUACUCUUUCGGGGGUGGGCUCUGCGGUUUACCGGGGCAGCAUCGGUUUGGAGCGGUAGGAUAAUGGGGGGGGAAUGUGGGACGACUUUGGUUGUGUGUUAUAGCCUCUGACGAUACUGCCAGCCUAGACCGAGGACUGCGGUUUUUACCUAGGAUGUUGGGAUAAUGAUCUUAAGUCGCCCGUCUUGAACCAACGGGACC